CAGUAACCCUGUACAAAAUGCACAAAACUACGACAGACUUAUGCUGGAGAGGCUGCGGAGCCAGGGGAACGUACCUCCACAUGUGGUGGGAAUGCCCCGGCGCAAUCCCGUUUUGGGCAGCAGUGCACAACCUGGUGAGACAGGUGUUCUCUAGGACGCCCGCGUUGGAACCAUGGGUAUAUCUCCUGAGCAGGUCGAUAGAGGGAUGGAC